CUGACCUCCUCGUCGACAAGGUCAACCUCCCAUUCAAAUGCAGGUGCUCCCCCUCCGUGCCCUCUCUCUCUUCCCUGACUCUCGUGCUGGAUCGAGUGGCGGUUCGAGGCGAAGAUGGCGGAUCUCGGGCGAAUGGCGGAGGAGGCCGGUGACACGGACCAACGGAGGGGAAUGGAAAAAGGCGAGAGGUGUCUUGUGGCAGCGAAGGAGAGGACGACGGUGGGGAGUGAUGAUCCAGGCGGCGGCCCUGCUCGACAAGAUCCUCGCGUUCGCGUCAAGGGAGCCAUGUGCUUCUUCUCGGGACGCCGAUGCCACGUAGCUCGUCAAGCUCCUUCUCUACUGCGGGAGGAUUGAUUGGGUUGGAUUGGUUUCUACUUGCUUUUGUUCUCUGUUUGAGAACCUGAGAUGCAGCCCUCCAAAUCUUCGGCCCUAGGAUAUAAGGAGGUUUGGUUUUGCUUCUACUCUACAUUAACUGUUGUUACCUGCACUUUGCCACUCAUUGAUGCUUCUUCGUUUAUUUUUUAUGCAUGUGUGAUGUCGGUGAUAGGAGAGCAAGUUCCUCAAGUUCAUGAGGAAUCCCCUCUCAACUUGUUAGCACAGGUGUCUCCGACUCUUGUGAGUUGCCGCUGUAGAUGAUAUGGUCGACAUCCUUGCUACUGGCUCCUAAUUUUUUUGUGAUGAACAGAUGGUUUAGAUUUAGUGUGUAUAUCUUAGAUGUUAUAUUGGUUUGGAAAUUAACUUGUUACCUUUGUCUAACUUAAUGUCAAGCUAAACCUGAUGCAGAUGUCCAUGUCUUUGCAAAUGAUGUCAGUAGGAAGUUUGUGUGUGUGCUUUCUUCAUAGUGUAAAUCUGUUGGAGCUAGCUCUGAGGUUAUUUGUUUGUUUGUGAGGAAAUCAAAGCGGCAAAGCAUUGUACUGCAGGUGUUGCCAUCAAGAUAUCUCGUGGACGAGUUAUACUCCUCGGUGCUCAUGUAAAACUAACUUAUUUUUCUCUCUACAGCUGUAUAAUAUAGAACGGUUGAGCUUAACAUCUCGCUGCUAAUAUUUUCAAAUAUAUUGCACCCCAUGCACAACCCAUGCACCCAUCCUAUUUGAUAUGUCGAGGCUGGAUGUUUUAUCUACACUUUCUCUUCUUAGUGGUGAAAUGGUGAUCCAUUAGAAGCAAACCUGGCCGAUAAGCUAAAGGAAGUUCAGAAAUCAACUUGGUUGUGCUCAUGUGGAUUAUUUAUUUCCAACAAUGCCAUCAAACCUUUGCUGCACCUUUGUUUGGUUUCUCUAAGGGUUGGACUGGAUAUUCACAAAACUUUAUAUCAUAUACUUUGGGCAUCACUAAAACAACUGAAUGUCAAAGCUACAUGAUUUUUGAAAACCUUUUUCACAAUAGCCACACCCAAAAAAUCAUAGGCGGUAGCCUAUCUGCUUCUUCCAUUGUGUUAUUUUCUCACUUUUGCUUGAUUGCGAGAACUAGAGACCAUUAUGUAUAGAAAAAUGUACUAAUGCACACAGAUAAAAAGGAAUAUGACUCUCUUCCCAAAUAUUCAAUGCAUAUUUCUCAUUUACUCUCUUAUAGGAGGCAGAUAACAAGUGAAAUUUGCGGUGUGUUAUGCGUUGCAAGCUAUGUUCACUGUCCAAGUGUCAUUGCAUGAAUUAAACACUCAUAUUACUUUUAAGCUUCUACAUAAGUACCUAGAAAUUUAUUUGAUUUGAUCCAACUGUUCUUUGUCGCAUUAAACAUUAGUUAUGAAAGUUGUAGCCUUUCAGUUUUUCUCAUACACACCGUACUAAUUUGUUCUAAUGGAAUAGUGUUGCCUUUCAGUAUGACAUUAGUUACGAACUUUGCAACAUGUUGUGUUUUUCGAACUGCGUUUACUGUCCAUGCACAUAGAGUAGAACCUCUCCUAUUUAAUUUGCCUUUAUUGUGUUUCUUCAUGGCCCUCUCUUCCGUUUAAUGUUGGAUAUAAUGCACAGGCUGAAGCGUAUUGAUUCUGAUUUUUUAGUUAUAUGUGUGGUGUGAUGAUGGUCAUUCUUCAAUUUAAAAGUAAACAAGCGGCCUCCAUUAAGGUCUACCGACAAUCAUGUAGGUGCCGAGAUACACGAGGGGUUGGAGCAGGACUAUAGGAGGAGAUGAGGACAUGUUUUGUUUUAGAUCCACCUGAUUAAUCCCAAGUUUUUGCAAGGUGAGCCUUGCAUCCACUACUUAGAUGAGUUUAGUCACCACAUUGUGUGGGCAACACAGUUAAGCUCUACAACCAUAAUGUUUGUAGACUGCAAAAGAUCAUCCGCAACACCACCAUGCGUGAUCACUACUACGUGUGCCACAUGACAGAAACAUUUGAAAUAGAUGGCAAAAGAAUGUACAAUAGCGUUCCCUUUUCUACGGGUUCCCUUUUCCCACACAUGGAUCCUGGCCGUGGUGAACUGCCAAUCACUACUGGAGAUGGAACUACCGCUGUCACAUCCCGCUUUAUCAAGGGUGUUGACAAAAGGGCCACCAUCACUACAGGCUGGAGCAACUUCUUCCGUCAGGCACACAUGAAAUAGGGCAAGCAUAUACUUUCGCCUUCAAAUGGACUUCCAAGGACUGCACCUGAUCGUCUACUCAAUAUAAGAAAGUUGCAUAAGCCCCUUGUUAUACAACUUAAUGUACUCAACCUAUUGAUGCACAUGGACAUGAUGACUCUCUAGCGUUUAUGGACAAACCAACCUGUAAUCAUGGACCUUAUUGUCUUGUAGACCAUUUGGUGUUUCGAGUGUUUUGGAGCUUGCACUUUGUGCAUGUAGAUACAAACUUGUGUGUUCUGGACCAUCUGAAGUCUCUCAUAGUAACCAAUAGUCCUUAUCUUUU